ACCUUUUGUUCUUUUUGUACAGAAUCAACCAUAUUUUCCUUCAAGCCCUUACAUCAAAUGAUAAUGCAACCACUUAAAGAAAACCUUAAUAGGUACGGGCCGAGACAUAUUUGACUGAGAUGCAAGCUUUUGCUUAAGUUCACAUGUUAAUGAGAGCUAGCAUUUAAAGUCAAGACAAAAAAGAAGAAGAACAAGAAGGAUAAGUCAUAGGGAAUUAUAGUUACAGUAACGAGAAAGUUCUUCCUAUCUUAAACCAAGUACUUUAUUAUAGCACAAAAUAAAAUAAAA